UAACUGCGAGUGAAGCGGGAAAAGCUCAAAUUUAAAAUCUGGCGGUCUCUGGCCGUCCGAGUUGUAAUCUAGAGAAGUAAUGCCCGCGCUGGACCGUGUACAAGUCUCCUGGGAUGGAGCGUCAUAGAGGGUGAGAAUCCCGUCUCUGACACGGACUACCAGGGCUUUUGUGGUAUGCUCUCAAAGAGUCGAGUUGUUUGGGAAUGCAGCUCAAAAUGGGUGGUAAAUUCCAUCUAAAGCUAAAUAUUGGCGAGAGACCGAUAGCGAACAAGUACCGUGAGGGAAAGAUGAAAAGAACUUUGGAAAGAGAGUUAAACAGUACGUGAAAUUGCUGAAAGGGAAACGCUUGAAGUCAGUCGCGUUGGCCAGGGAUCAGCCUCGCUCUUGCGUGGUGUACUUUCUGGUUGACGGGUCAGCAUCAAUUUUGACCGCUGGAAAAAGGCCUGAGGAAUGUGGCAGCUUCGGCUGUGUUAUAGCCUCUGGUCACAUACAGCGGUUGGGAUUGAGGAACUCAGCACGCCGCAAGGCCGGGUUUCGACCACGUUCGUGCUUAGGAUGCUGGCAUAAUGGCUUUAAGCGACCCGUCUUGAAACACGGACCAAGGAGUCUAACAUGCCUGCGAGUGUUUGGGUGGAAAACCCGAGCGCGUAAUGAAAGUGAAAGUUGAGAUCCCUGUCGUGGGGAGCAUCGACGCCCGGACCAGAACUUUUGGGACGGAUCCGCGGUAGAGCAUGUAUGUUGGGACCCGAAAGAUGGUGAACUAUGCCUGAAUAGGGUGAAGCCAGAGGAAACUCUGGUGGAGGCUCGUAGCGAUUCUGACGUGCAAAUCGAUCGUCAAAUUUGGGUA
rnacentral:rRNA from 1 species